rnacentral:rRNA from 1 species
AUUGAACGCUGGCGGCAGGCUUAACACAUGCAAGUCGAGCGGGGGAAGGUAGCUUGCUACCGGACCUAGCGGCGGACGGGUGAGUAAUGCUUAGGGAUCUGCCUAUUAGUGGGGGACAACAUCUCGAAAGGGAUGCUAAUACCGCAUACGUCCUACGGGAGAAAGCAGGGGAUCUUCGGACCUUGCGCUAAUAGAUGAGCCUAAGUCGGAUUAGCUAGUUGGUGGGGUAAAGGCCUACCAAGGCGACGAUCUGUAGCGGGUCUGAGAGGAUGAGCCACCACACUGGGACUGGGACACGGCCCAGACUCCUACGGGAGGCAGCAGUGGGGAAUAUUGGACAAUGGGGGGAGCCCUGAUCCAGCCAUGCCGCGUGUGUGAAGAAGGCCUUAUGGUUGUAAAGCACUUUAAGCGAGGAGGAGGCUACUUUAGUUAAUACCUAGAGAUAGUGGACGUUACUCGCAGAAUAAGCACCGGCUAACUCUGUGCCAGCCGCCGCCGUAA